rnacentral:sRNA from 1 species
CUCUUUCUCCUUUAGAAUCUAAAGAGAAAGAGAAAAC